rnacentral:rRNA from 1 species
ACAUGCAGUCGAACGGUAGCACAGAGAGCUUGCUCUUGGGUGACGAGUGGCGGACGGGUCAUUUAUGUCUGGGAAACUGCCUGAUGGCGGGGGAUAACUACUGCAAACGGUAGCUAAUACCGCAUAAUGUCGAAAGAACCCAAAGAGGGGGACCUUCGGGCCUCUUGCCAUCAGAUGUGCCCAGAUGGGAUUAGCUAGUAGGUGGGGUAAUGGCUCACCUAGGCGACGAUCCCUAGCUGGUCUGAGAGGAUGACCAGCCACACUGGAACUGAGACACGGUCCAGACUCCUACGGGAGGCAGCAGUGGGGAAUAUUGCACAAUGGGCGCAAGCCUGAUGCAGCCAUGCCGCGUGUAUGAAGAAGGCCUUCGGGUUGUAAAGUACUUUCAGACCGAGGAGGAAGGCAUCAAGGUUAAUAACCUUGGUGAUUGACGUUACUCGCAGAAGAAGCACCGGCUAACUCCGUGCCAGCAGCCGCGGUAAUACGGAGGGUGCAAGCGUUAAUCGGAAUUACUGGGCGUAAAGCGCACGCAGGCGGUCUGUCAAGUCGGAUGUGAAAUCCCCGGGCUUCACCUGGGAACUGCAUUCGAAACUGACAAGCUAGAGUCUUGUAGAGGGGGGUAGAAUUCCAGGUGUAGCGGUGAAAUGCGUAGAGAUCUGGAAGAAUACCGUGGCGAAAGCGGCCCCCUGGACAAAGACUGACGCUCAUGUGCGGAAGCGUGGGGAGCAAACAAGGAUAGAUACCCUGGUAAUCUACGCUGUAACGAUGUCCACUUGGAGGGUGUUCCCUUGAGGAAUGGGUUCCCGAGCUAACGCGUUAAGUCGAAC